rnacentral:tRNA from 1 species
UGGGGUGUAGCUUAGUGCUAGAGCUCUUGCCUAGCAUGCAUGAGACCCUGGGUUCCAUCCUUAGCACUGCAA